rnacentral:lncRNA from 1 species
CAAACUAAAGUUUUAAAUCACUAUGAAAUAAAAUAAAUUCUAACAUAUCUAUUAUCUAUUACUUUUUAUUAAUCCCCAAUAACAAUAACUGAGGUGGAUGACCUCCCUUUUUUGGAAUUUUUUUGAUUUUUUUAUUUUUUAAAUUCCACAUAACCCUCUACAUUCUACAUUUCAUACUUACUUUCUAUUAAUCCCCAAUAACAAAAGCUGAGGUGGCAUGACCUCCUUUUUUUGGAAUUUUUUCUGAUUAAUUUAUUUUUUAAAUUCCACAUAAUCCUCUACAUUCUAUAUUUCAUACUAACUGUUUUUUUAGCAAUUAAUUUUCUAAAUUUGAAAACUUUUCUGAUUUUUUUAUUUUUUAAAUUCCAUAUAACCAACCCUCUACAUUCUACAUUUCAUACUAACUGUUUUUUUAGCAAUUAAUUUUCUAAAUUUGGAAAAGGUUCUUCAUAAUUGCAAUUGAUAAAUUAUUAUAAACUAUCUAUUACUUUCUAUUAAUCCCCAAUAACAAUAGCUGAGGUGGCAUGACCUCUUUUUUUGGAAUUUUUUUUGAUUUUUUUAUUUUUUAAAUUUCACAUAACCCUCUACAUUCUACAUUUCAUACUAACUGUCUAUUACUUUCUAUUAAUCCCCAAUAACAAAAGCUGAGGUGGCAUAACCUCCUUUUUUUGGAAUUUUUUCUGAUUAAUUUAUUUUUUAAAUUCCACAAAACCCUCUACAUUCUAUAUUUCAUACUAACUGUUUUUUUAGCAAUUAAUUUUCUAAAUUUGGAAACUUUUCUGAUUUUUUUAUUUUUUAAAUUCCAUAUAACCCUCUACAUUCUACAUUUCAUACUAACUGUUUUUUUAGCAAUUAAUUUUCUAAAUUUGGAAAAGGUUCUUCAUAAUUGCAAUUGAUAAAUUAUUAUAAACUAUAAUAAUUAAUUGUCUAAUAAACUAUAAUAAUUUCUAUUAAUUUUAAAAUUUUUUCAUUAAUAAAAUUCAAAAAAAAAA